rnacentral:pre_miRNA from 1 species
AAAACAUUCGGACCGUCGGUCUACCGAGUAAUAUCCCCAGCUUGGUGAAAGGUCUUCCUUUCAUCGU